rnacentral:rRNA from 1 species
AUUGAACGCUGGCGGCAUGCCUUACACAUGCAAGUCGAACGGCAGCACGGGAGCAAUCCUGGUGGCGGAGUGGCGAACGGGUGAGUAAUAUAUCGGAACGUGCCCGGUCGUGGGGGAUAACGUAGCGAAAGCUACGCUAAUACCGCAUACGAUCUAUGGAUGAAAGCGGGGGAUCGCAAGACCUCGCGCGAUUGGAGCGGCCGAUAUCAGAUUAGGUAGUUGGUGAGGUAAAGGCUCACCAAGCCGACGAUCUGUAGCUGGUCUGAGAGGACGACCAGCCACACUGGGGCUGAGACACGGCCCAGACUCCUACGGGAGGCAGCAGUGGGGAAUUUUGGACAAUGGGCGCAAGCCUGAUCCAGCAAUGCCGCGUGCAGGAUGAAGGCCUUCGGGUUGUAAACUGCUUUUGUACGGAACGAAACGGUGAGCUCUAAUACAGUUUGCUAAUGACGGUACCGUAAGAAUAAGCACCGGCUAACUACGUG